GAUGAACGCUGGCGGCGUGCCUAAUACAUGCAAGUCGAGCGAACAGACGAGGAGCUUGCUCCUCUGACGUUAGCGGCGGACGGGUGAGUAACACGUGGAUAACCUACCUAUAAGACUGGGAUAACUUCGGGAAACCGGAGCUAAUACCGGAUAAUAUAUUGAACCGCAUGGUUCAAUAGUGAAAGACGGUUUUGCUGUCACUUAUAGAUGGAUCCGCGCCGCAUUAGCUAGUUGGUAAGGUAACGGCUUACCAAGGCGACGAUGCGUAGCCGACCUGAGAGGGUGAUCGGCCACACUGGAACUUAGACACGGUCCAGACUCCUACGGGAGGCAGCAGUAGGGAAUCUUCCGCAAAGGGCGAAAGCCUGACGGAGCAACGCCGCGUGAGUGAUGAAGGUCUUCGGAUCGUAAAACUCUGUUAUUAGGGAAGAACAAAUGUGUAAGUAACUAUGCACGUCUUGACGGUACCUAAUCAGAAAGCCACGGCUAACUACGUG
rnacentral:rRNA from 1 species